UACGGCGGCCAUAGCGACAGGGAAACACCCGGUCCCAUCCCGAACCCGGAAGUUAAGCCUGCCAGCGCCGAUGGUACUGCGACCGAGAGAUCGUGGGAGAGUAGGACGCCGCCGGAC
rnacentral:rRNA from 1 species